AUCUCUUCGGCAGUGGCUCUUUGACCUUUUGUCUGCUUAUCUUAUUACCAGACAAAUUUGCGCUGCCCUUUUAAAACCAUCUUCUAAUAACAAAACUAAGUACUACAACUAGCUCACAAGGGUAAAAUCACAAAUCAGAUUUGUUUAGCAGCAGUGUCCUUGAAAUGGGUAAAUUUCCACUGUGAAAGAAACUCUUUGUCCCCAUCAAGAUCCUUUUUACAUUUUGAUUAAUACCUUACCUAAAUAUCCAGAACAAAGGCAGAAGUGAAGACGUCCGUGAAUGCUUGCAUGAAACAUUCUCAGCUCCUUCAGGUACCUUCUCAUGUGAUUUACAAUGACCCAGAAAUAUUCUCAUUCCUUGCCCUUCAACAUUCUUCAAUUUGAUUAAAAGACCUCCAAAGAGACAAGAGUUUCACCAUGUUACCUAGGCUGCUUUCAAACUCCUGGACUCAAGUGAU
ensembl:lncRNA novel transcript